CACGCGGCUCUGUGAGUGCAAGGAGACGUGGGAGGGCUGUGUGAGGAGUGACUUCAGCAGUAAAACUAUUCCCUGCAACCUGGUGCAGGGUUUCUUGUGGUCACUGCAAGGGCAGCCCAGCCUGCGGCCCCCCCUUCCUUCCCCCGCAGAAGCUGCCUGGAGCCCGUCCCAGAGUCCCUCCUCUGACCCAGCUCCAGCUGAAGCCUUGCUGGCCUGGCUGGUGUACCAAGCCAGCUCUGCGACUGGCUAUUUACAGUGAAGACACAACAUAGCUAUUCUGCUUAGAAAAGUAAUAGGAAAGUUGAGGGGUUUAACUUCUCUCACUGCAUUUUACUAUUUAUAAUGCUAUCCCCGAAAUAAUUUCAACUUAUUACACUGAAAAGUUACCACAGUGGAGGAAGAACGCUUUCUUUCACUUUAUUUUUGUACUUGGCAAAAUGAAGGUGAAAAAAGAAGCAGUGAGGUAAAUAUUUUGAUCUUUAAUUGGUUAGACAAUUGAACUUCGAUGCCUGUAAAUUUUUUUCACAGCAUUAGCAACAAGUAAACAUUUUUACCGUCACCUAUUUUACUUGUGAAUGCAGCAACAAUCUCUCUGGGUUUUAUCUCUCUGCACAUGCCUUCUGUACUGAUAAAGGCGUUAAUUUUAGUAUGAUCAAGACUGGCCUCAUCUAGAGAAAAAAAAAAUCAUAGAGAAAACGGGAAUUCCCCAUAAAGUCAACUUUUCGUUAAUUAAAGUCUUGUGUGGAUGAUUCCUUACUAAAUACGAUGCUUUGACAGUAAAGUUUCAUCUUACAGAGAUAAAAUACCCGUUUCUUAUUGCUCUAAAUCUUAACACCCAGGGACGUGCUUAGAAGUUGGCAGUGGGCAUAGUCGGUAUUUGCCUGGACAACUCCUUCAGUUUUAAUUUGCUUUUUGGACGGGUAGAGCCCACCACAGGCAUGCCUGGACGUUUGGCCCUUCUGAGUAGUUUGUCAUUGAGGAGGCAGAUAACAACUGCAAACUCAAAGCGAAACCGUUUCAACGCUCACAGAUGAACACCUCUUCUCCUUUUUUCUGACCUCCUGGUGUCCCUAGUUUAGGUGGGUUUAAAUAAAUGGAGAAAUGCAUUGCAAUGCGUACCUUUAGGUACACACUAAUAGUAUGUAUACACCGAAAUCUAUUUAAUAGAAAGACAAGCAGCAUCUGAAAAGCACAUAAGCCUAAUUGAUUCCAGACACAACUGGCCUGGGUUUUGUUUCCUCUUAUUCCAACUUUCUGACCUUGUAAAAAUUAUCUUGAUUGUGUUAUACUAAAACAAGGCCAUGAUCUGGCAAAACCACCACGUGUGCUAGUGCUGAGGGGUACUGAGUAAAGCGCUGUGUAUGGAACAAAUGUCGACAACAUUAGGCCCCAAGUUCGUUUGUUUGUUUUCCUUUGCUUAUAUCUAAUCAUGGUGAAGCAAUAGUCUCACUUCUGCUAAAAGCUGAAUCUGGGUUUUCGUUUUUAAAGGGGGUGAAAAAUGUGUAGUAAAACUUAUGAUUUGAGGUGAGUGAUAGGCUUAAAAUUCUUACAGCAUUUAAAGCCAUGGGGAUUUUAUGGCAUUUAGACUAGGGGAAAGAACAGUGAGGGUUUAAAAAUGUGUAUCGCCUGUAAUUUUUUCAGUACUUUUGUGUGUGUGUGUGUGUGGUGGUUUUUUUUUUUGGUAGAUUGUUUCUAGGGAUUGGUAGGAAAGUUUAAGGACCUAGUGGCUUUGAUGAUAACCCUUCCGAUACCGUUGUGCCUUUGUAUAAACAUGUAAAAAAGACCUAGGACAGCAUAAAGCAUUAGAUGUGCUGCUGUCUUUGGCGCUGGAGAACUUCGGAGUAUAAUUAUAUUUUCUGCUUGACAAAAAUCUGAAGCCCAGGUACACUGAUCCUUUUAUUGCAACAACUGCUGCUGCUUCUGUGUUUGGGAAUCUGCGGCUUGCUAGCCUUAAACCUCUGUGAAGAGUUGUGACAGAAAAAUGUCUUUCCAGCGCAUUGAACUGAACAGAUGAUCCCUCUCGUUAUUCCUCUGAAGGCUCUCCUGGUUUUUUUUCCUCAGGAUCAAGAAUAAACCAUGUAUGUGUGCUUUUGUCAGCAGGGCUCCCACGGGGCAAUCCUUGUAAGCACUGGGAUUGCCUUUUUGGUAGUGAGGAGGCUUAUAAAAAGCAGCUCCAGGUGGAAGUGGCCUUUUCCUGCUCCUCCCUCCAUCCUGCUGCAAUUCCCUUUCAUCCAGGCCCUGAGAACUACCUGCGUUUCAGACUAACCUACAAAUGUAGGAGGGUUUUGGUCACUUGGCCAAAGUAUUAAGAUAUCUACCUUUUACUUACGUUGUUUCAUUGACAUGUAAAUGUUUUGGGGAGCUUCCUUAUAUAUAAUUUAGCCCAUCAACUUACAGUGGUCAUGCAACAGCAAAUGUAACUUAAAUUUUUUAAGCUUUUAUAUGUCAUGAAACUCGGUUUCUAAGAAGUUGGCACGAAUAAGGCUGCCACCUUGUUUGGGCUUUUUAGCUCCCUUGCCAGCCUUCCUUGUUUCCCUACAGAAUGCAAGGUGGCCAUGGCGUGCUGUAGAUAAUUUAUUGAAUACAAAAACCUGACAGCGUACACAGUGUUCUGACCCAAACGUCAGGUUGGUAACCUACUACACCAAAGAUUAAACAGUAAAUAUCAGUGCUACUGUAUCUGUUGUCUUUAUCUUCUAGCAACUGUUUUACAUCUUUUCUGUGAAGCUGUAGAAGAGGGUGAAGUAAAAUCCUGCCAGUUUAGAAGCAGUGAUAUCUGUGAGAUACCACUUGAUCUGUGAUCUUGAUAGCAGUGGUCUGUGCUCUCAGUGCAAAAAAACCAGCAUGUUCUGGCUUGCAUUUUUUAAGAGUGAAAAGAGUUGGUCCAUUGCUUAAAAGUUGCACCGUUCGGUGCAGCCAUUCUUAGUGUGCGGCCUGCAAAGUGUUACCUGUAGGGUUACAGAUGCAGCGCACAUCCUCUCCCUCCUCUGCCACCACAAGGUGAAGACAUGAGGUCUUCCUGCCUUAACUGAAAUAAGCAGGUCCCGUCCAUCUGCCAAGAAUGUACAAUAAAUAUAAUGAUCGUGUAAGUUGAUUGUGAUAUCCAAAGUAUAAACAAACUUGGGCAUCGAAAAGGUGAGUUUCUGGCAGGUUUCCAGGGGAGCUGCCUCAGCGCUGCAGAGCUGAAGCGUUCCUCUUUAAGGGUAAGGCAAAUUUUUUAGCUAUUUACACAAGACAGAAGCAGAAAAGGUGUAGAAUGGAGGGGUACGAAAUGAGGUGUCUGCUGCUGCUGGUGGUGAUGCUUUUAACACUGACCUGUGGCUCUAGAUGAAUUCCUUCACCAUUGGCACUCAGCGGUAUUGAACACCUCUACUUCCACGUCAGCGCGAAUGACAAUACGCAGCAUCUCGUGGAAUCAGAUCUAACGUUUCUCCUAUGAAAUAUGUGAAGUGAGGUGUUCCUCUAUCUGUAAGCUGGUAUUAUCAGAUGGAGUGCUGUGCAAGGGAGGCGUGUUUGUCUGGAUUGUGAGAAACUGUGAAGAUCGUACCAGUACAGUGUUAUGGAUGUCCCUAUAUCCUUCUGAAACUAAAUUUUCGACACUUGCCCUUCUGGAGAGAGGGAGGAAAAGACAGAGAGGGAGGAGAGAGGCAGAAAAGAUGUCACCAAUUACUCUGCUGUAAGGCACCGAGACACUACUGUGGUAAAUGUGGCGUAAGAAAACACGAAGAAUAUGGACUGAUGCAAUGCAGAUGUAUGCAGAAUAAGAAAUGUCUCAAUUACACCAAGCCAGGAGGAUGGAGACUGCUAUGGAUGAUCAGCUCAGAAAUCAAAAUGAACUUAAAUGCAGAAGUGAAAUUCAAUUAAAACAAUCUUCAAUUUCUUGCAGAAAUCAAGUCCGCAGAAGGAACAAGUUAUUCAGUACCUGCUCUGCAAAAUCUGUCUUGAAGGAAAGCUGAAUGGAAACAUGAAAGUCAGUGCCUCGCCUCCUCGGCAGGUGAACUCUGUGACUGCAGUGGCGUUUCCCUCCCUCCCUUCCUCCCUGCCUCCCCCGGGCUGCGCGUUGGGAAGUUCCGGUAAAAUAUAGCUGCUGUGGAAAGUCCUGCUCAUGGCGAGGAGACGUGACCUCUCGGCAAGUCAGAUCCAAUUUUACAGGCGGCUCUGAGUCAGGGUGGAGCCCGUGAACUGAACUUUGUAUGUAAGAAGGAAGUGAUGAUGGUGGCAGCUUGUGUUGCUGAGCAGAUGAGUUGCUGUAUUUUUAUGUCAGCUGAUAGUUUCACCGGGUGCGUGACUUCACUCUUAGAUAUGAUGCCUUCCAUUUAUUAAGGACAAAGGUCGGCAAUUGUCAGCACCAUGAUAGCUGUGUCUCUCCAUAUAAGAAGAGGCAUGUUCUGCUGAGCCGUCAAAGAUGGAAAUGGGGGUCCUUAAUGCUGCUUCUGCACGGUGAAAACAAAACCCACCGUGAAACUGUUGAUUUAUGUCAUGGUCCAAGCGCAAACGUCCUCAGGAGUAGGUCAGUUCCCCAGUGUUGCCUCAUUUUUAUAAGAGCUCACUACUGUUCCCGAUUAAAGAGGUGGGCUGUCUGACUGAGCGUCUUGUCUCCAGUCAUGAUGGGAAUGGGGGGGCUGAGGCGAGCAGUUGGGCACUGGCCUGUUAGAUCAGUAUUUAGAUGGAAGGCUGAGCGAUCCUGCCUCUUGCUUCAGUACGCUACACAGUGAGGCUGUUUGUGAAGGAGAGUGAUCCGUGUGUCCCCUCCACGCCGCUGGCACUCCAGUGGGUGCUGCCCUCCAGCUGUCCGGGUUGUCAUGGGUAAGGGGCAGCCCCAGGGAGUGUUUCUGAGAGACGUGAGCGGGAGAGCGCAGGCAGGUUUGGGGCAGCUGCGCACAACUGUGCACGCACCCACGCAGCCCGCAGUCAUGGUGUGCUGUCUCAGAUGGCAUUUCCACCUAUUGCCCCCUUAUAGUCUUUGGUUGUGUCCUUAAGUUAGCUGUGAGAGAGCUAUAUGUUGUUAUCCUUGUUCAGAGAGAUGUUACUGUAUCAGAAAACUUCCACAGAAAAGAAUUAAUUUUGUGAGUAGUGUUAAUUCUCCUUGUCGCUGUUGGUUUCCCGAGGGUGAGGCAGCGGGGGAUGCUGACGUCCUUCAGAGAGCUUUGCCCCUAUAAGACCUGGCAGGUGAGUGGCGUGUGGACAUGAGCUCCCGGAGCUUGCUGCCCCUCUGCUUUUCUGCUUCAGUUCUUCAGUUAAGGAGUUCCCUGCCACAGAAGUGGCUGUUUGGGCCAGUUCCAGCUUUUGUCACUCCCGCUGGCUUGAGUUUCAAAAAAAAAGAAAAAAAAAGUCAACGCACACAACUGCCUACCCUGGCUUGCCCUCUGCUCCCUUAGCUUGCUGGUGCCACAGGGUGGCUCCUUGCAGCACUUGUAUUCCUGAUGCUUUUAGCUUUUCAGCUGAAGUCGUGAAGGUUGUUCUUUCUGAUACAAGUCUACUGCUUCCUGGUCCUGACCAAAAUGCACGUGCUCUCAGUAUUUCAGCACACUGUACAUUGGUGAACAAUUUCUUCUAAAAAAGGAGUAUUGGUUUAGCGUAUGGCACAUGGUUACCGUCUGCGCCCCUUUUGGCCACCGUACCUUCUCAGUCUGGUGUGCUUCCAUUGCUGCCUAAUUUUUGAGAAACUUUGAGUAAAACUUUCACUUGUGAAAGAAAAAGAAACCAUUUGUCUUUUUUCACUUCAUUUGGCUGAAACAACGUUCAGAGAUGAAUAAAACGUGAGUAUGUGUCAGGGUAGUGUGAUUUCGGAGCCACUUCCCACCAGUUCGGGGAGAAAACAUGAUGCCUUAGUUUGUUUGAGGCCAUGGACCGGAGUGCCUGAAAGGCAGCUACUCCAAGCACAGGCUUGGGCUCCUGGUACAGCUUCACAUCCCUCCUUGCACAAAGAGAAGUAAAAGAAAGGAAAGGCUAUGAGAUGAGAAGGUGUUGGGGUUUGGGUACACCAGUACAGAAUUUCCGGGGGAGCUGCGAGUUCCUUCAUCAAAGCAAGAAAAGCCUUUUGGAAGAAGCCAGCCGGAGGGUCUGGCAGAAGCACAAGUGCUGUCUCUUGGGACCGAUGCAGGGCUUGGACCGUCGCCAUGCUGAGCGGGUGGUGAGGAAACGGAGGAACCCAGCGGAGCUUUUCUCGGGCAGGGUGGGUUGCUCUGAGCUCGCUGUGCACAGUCCUCGGCGUUAGCAGCUUUCAAACAUGCCAGACACCUGGACGGGGUUGUCAGAAACGAGGCACAGACUGCCGGGGCCCUGCGGCCCGACGGGCUACCUGCACACGGCUUGUGUGGGGACUCGGCAUCGAGAGGUGUCAUCAGCUGCCUUCGGAAGGGACAGCAGCUAGACCUUAAGAUCACAUUUUGCUAUACCUGCCUUUUAAAACAGAUGCUGGUUAUUCAAAGUCUGCUGAAUAAAUAACCUUCCCUUGUAUUUUCAUGUGAUACUAGAUAAUUUGCAUUUUGUAAUACUGCUGUUUUAAAACAGAUGUAAAUGCCGCUUGGCAACCUCUGUGCUGUGCUUCUUGUGGAGUGCAUUAACUUAUCUCUGCGUAAU